CGGGGUUUCAAGACAAGUGCGAACGUCAUACAUCUUGUGGAGGAUUCAAUCGUCAUAUUUCCGGAUACUGAAAUGGAAUAUAAGUCACAUUUCAAGGUUCAACAUAUCCAGUUACUAGGAAGGAAGAAGACAACGGGAAAAGGAUUCUGUUUUGACAUUCCUGCUAUUUAUCUGCUCAUAGAGAAAAUAGAGGUCACAUUUCAAGGUUCAGCAUCACCGAGUUACUAGGAAGGAAGAAGACAAUGGGAAAAGGGUUCUGUUUUGACAUUCCUGCUAUUUUUCUGCUCA